rnacentral:rRNA from 1 species
GACGUAGGGGGCCAGCGUUGCUCGGAAUUACUGGGCGUAAAGGGUUCGUAGGCGGUGUGGCAAGUCGGGAGUGAAAUCUCCAGGCUCAACUUGGAGGCUGCUUCCGAAACUGCCGCGCUAGAGUGCGAGAGAGGCCAGUGGAAUUGCAGGUGUAGCGGUGAAAUGCGUAGAUAUCUGGAGGAACACCGGUGGCGAAGGCGGCAUUCUGGACUGUAACUGACACUGAGGAACGAAAGCCAGGGGAGCAAACCGG